CGUCAUUCACAACUAAAAUAAUUCUUGGCAUGUUCUGACCUUGAUGGCAGCCACUCUUUGUGCAUGAAGCAUAGGAUCACCAUGGAUUAUCUUCAUCCUCUUGCUAAAUAUCCCAGUUUUGGCAUUGAGGCUCUGCAACCAACCAACUAAACAAAGAAGAUUAAAUUCGUGAUCACGUUAAUUGAUCAAAAAGACACAACCUUCGUUGAAAUACUAGAACCAUAUGCAACAUUACUGUAAAAGAAAUAACAGACUGCAGAACAGAGACACCACACACCAUCACCAUCAUUACAGUUAUUUUUCAUGCACUAAAUGUCACCCCUGGUUACCCUACAAUGUUAAUGUAUUUCAAGAAUUGGCACAUUAACUGAANNN
rnacentral:lncRNA from 1 species